rnacentral:pre_miRNA from 1 species
UUUUCGUAGCACCUCCGUUUCAAAUAUCAAAAAUCUUUGUCUUAUUUAAAAUUUUUUUAUGAUUAAUAUUUUCAUUGUUACUAGAUAAUAAAAUAUGAAUAUUACUUUAUACGUGACUAAUUUUAUUAAGUUUUUUUAUAAAUUUUUUAAAUAAGACGAAUGAUCAAACUUUCGACAUAGAAAU